rnacentral:piRNA from 1 species
CAGCUGGGGACGCAGAACUUUCUU